AAUAUCGAGGAAGGAUUUGACUGAUUGCAACCUCAUGUGCUGAAUUAGUUUCGGCAUAACUAAAUGCUAAAGCAGUUUAA
rfam:Arenibacter sp. C-21 DNA, contig: C21_contig0021.